CACUUUGAUUCUCGGAAGAGAAACCCAUGCAUUUCUUGUACGAUGCCGUCCAUAAAGGACAUCGAAGGAAUUAUCCCGGUUUGCAAAGUUGAUAAAUUGUGAAGUGAAACCUUUUGACGGCAGUAGAAAAACUAGUAGACAGUUCGGUGAAUUUUUGUGAAAAUGGAAAUUAUUCAGUUUUUGACCAAGCAUAUGGUGCCAUGGAAGAAUGAGAAGAAAAAAGGUUUAAAAAGGAACUCUUCUCGAAAUGAGUUGUUAGUUGUUAUGAGAAGUGGACUCUGUUUAAGGAUGCGACAAUCACAAUAAUAAAACAAAAUGGGACACCAUCUUCAUCCAGGAUCCAAAAGAACGUACCACAAUUCUUCCAAAUUGUUAAUUUCGAGGUUAUGUUAUCAACAAAUGAGAUCUGGUUGUGACGAGCCAAUUUUAAACAUGAAUAAAA